UUGGAAUUCAAUAUACAGGGUGCCUGCUUAACGCAGGAGAAUAGGAAAGCUGAGUGAAAAUCUCACACGGUCACGCCGCUGUAAGGGAAGAAUUGCAUUUGCUCGCGCCACUGGUAGAACCGGGAAGGCGAAAUGCAGUGAUGAAGCCCAAGUCAGAAGACCUGCCUUGUAUAUGCGGUUGGCA
rnacentral:ncRNA from 22 species